ensembl:ncRNA mir-4965 mir-4965 stem loop
CACAAGGUGAUCGAUGGGAGAUGAGCGCCUGAUGUGAUGAUGAAGUAGAUCGAUCACACCACACACUCACUCACCCAGGUUUCAUCC